GCCAGCCCGCGCUCUGCCUGUGGAGUGUGUAUUUCUUCCUUUUUGUAUCAGACUUACUCAGAAAGCAGCUGCUCAUUCUCCUGAGCCAGCCUGCAUUCUACUGAACUCUGAAGUCAAGAACCUGGUAAGAAGACGGGAUGGGUUGAGGCCAACAAUCGGGCCCCCCAGACCCUACCUCCGACAUCAGUAUUUGUAAAUCUCUGGUAAAACGACAAGUCUCUCAAACAACUCUUUAGGGUCAACAAACUAACCAGGAGCAAUGCGGACCAUCCAGAGAUGCCUGGGGCCUGUCAGCUGAAGUACCUGGAGCCCUGCCAGCAGCUCUGGGCCUCUCCCUUUUUGGAUUCCUGAUACUUAGUGUGCCCAUCAGAUUUUUCAUGCAUUGGUAUCGAUUAAAAUAGGAAAGCAGGGGAAUUGUCAGCUGGUGAACUCUUUUCGAGAAAUAAACUUUAAAAAUCAGUGACUGAUUGUCAUAGCUGGGAAGAGAAAUGAGAUGCUGAGAGUAAUGUUCAUUGUGGCCUUUCUCAUCAGUUCAAGUGAUAUUCUGGAUAAAAAUGCCCUUCCAAUAGGGCAUGAUUUGGGAAGGACAUGCUUCACUCAGUGGUUGCCACCCACAAGGUCCCUUGUAAGUGUACUCGGGGGCUAAUCCAUCUCUUCUCUGAAAGAACUCCAAUCUCUCUUCUGUGAGAAGUGAUUCAUCUCAAUGCACCCAGAACCCACAGAGUGAUACUGGACAAGUAACCUUCUAUGCUUCCAUCCCCUCUGUAAGGCAGGAAUCAGAGCUGCAGCCCUUGCCUCAUACCUGUUAUUUGACAACAGGUCUAAACUGCUUAGAACAUCACCUGGCAUAGAUAAGACCUAUGUAAACUUUUGUUAUUUAUCACCACUCUAUUUCAUACUAUAUUUCUCUAGUUUUCAAACUUAAUUAUACUAUAAUAACUUAUAUCUCUGAUAUAUCCCCAAAAGAUAAAUUCCAAUCAAGGUCUAUUUUCCCUCAUUUUUUAGGUCACAAAAAUUUAGCACAUUGUCUAGAAAAUAUUAGGCCCUGAAUAAACAUUUCUUUAAUGCUGCAUGGGUGAGUUAAUAGAAGAACAAAAGAAUAAAUUUUUAGCCAAAUCAUCAGGUUGAAUCUUUUCCUCUCAUAGUUACUCUUUCUAGUUUCCAGCUCUAGUUUCUAAUUUCACACUCUAAUUGGUUAUACAGUCUUUAAUAAACAUAUACAUUCAAUUAAAUUGGAACCAGCAAAGCUUACAAAGCUUC